rnacentral:rRNA from 1 species
GAUGAACGCUAGCGGCAGGCCUAACACAUGCAAGUCGAGGGGCAGCACAGAAACAGCAAUGUUUUGGUGGCGACCGGCGGACGGGUGCGUAACGCGUAUGCAACCUAUCUUUAACAGGGGGAUAACGGAGAGAAAUUUACACUAAUACCACAAAAAAUCGAUCAAGGCAUCUUGAUUGGUUGAAAACUCCGGGGGUUAAGGAUGGGCAUGCGUUGUAUUAGGUAGUUGGUGCGGUGAUGGCUCACCACGCCUACGAUACAUAGGGGGACUGAUAGGUUAGCCCCCCACACUGGUACUGAGACACGGACCAGACUCCUACGGGGGGCAGCAUUGAGGAAUAUUGGUCAAUGGGGGCAAACCUGACCCAGCCAUGCCGCGUGAAGGAAGACGGCUCUAUGAGUUGUAAACUGCUUUUAAACAGGGAUAAAGCACAGUAUGUAUACUGUGUUGAAGUUACUGUAAGAAUAAGGAUCGGCUAACUCCGUGCCAGAAGCCGCCGUAA